UUAUCUUAAUCCUAUAUUUAUAUUCUGCAGAUGCACGUGAUGAUGAGGAAGCUGUAAUCAGACAACCUGAGAUUGGUACUGGACGUAUUACGAGUGCAUGUGGUUUGCAGAUUAUACACCCGGUUGAUGUUGAUGUGGAUGUGGAGAUAACAAAUACUGUAAAAGAGAAGAAAGAAGAUAUUACCAUGCCAGAACCAAGAAAGAAGAGGCAAAGAAUUACCCAAGAAAUGGUCUGGGAGGCGCAGUUGCAGUUUUUUAAAGAACAAACACUAACUGAAAGAAGGCGCAGACAGUUAAUGGACACAAAAGAGGAAUUUUAUAAGGCUGCUACUGCAGCCAUACAUGAUGGAAGUAUGGGAAAUAUAGUACAUGAUAUCUUUCCCUGUCUGAAAGAAACUUAAAAGGACCACAAGCUAAAGGCUGUGCAGUAACUUAGCUGUUUGGACUUUCUGGAAUUCUGUAUAAUAGUUUUGAAUGAAGAUGGCACAACUGUUCACCACAGUGAAAGGGAUUGAUGUGAU